GCAGAGUUACAGUUGCUCUUCCGGAGCCUUCAAUCAAUUUACUUCCCAUGGUUUGGCAAACAAAAGAAAUACACGAACAUAAGAAUAAACAAGUUUAAUUCAUUUGUGUCACAUAAUAUUUUCAAAAUCUGCUGCUAACAGUUGACUAACAAAAUCAGAUAUGUUAUCCAUAAUUGAUUACUUUGCAGUUUGAAAAUUUCAGUU
rnacentral:lncRNA from 1 species